rnacentral:rRNA from 1 species
UACGUAGGUGGCUAGCGUUGUCCGGAUUUACUGGGCGUAAAGAGCGCGCAGGCGGUCGUUCAAGUCGAGUGUGAAAGCCCCCGGCUCAACUGGGGAGGGUCACUCGAUACUGAUCGACUUGAAGGCGGGAGAGGGAAGCGGAAUUCCCGGUGUAGUGGUGAAAUGCGUAGAUAUCGGGAGGAACACCAGUGGCGAAGGCGGCUUUCUGGCCCGUUCUUGACGCUGAGGC